GACUAGCUAGCUCAGUCUGUAGAGCAAGUGACUCUCAAUCUCAGGGCUGUGAGUUCAAGCCUCACACUGGGUG
rnacentral:tRNA from 1 species